AUUGAACGCUGGCGGCAGGCCUAACACAUGCAAGUCGAGCGGUAGAGAGAAGCUUGCUUCUCUUGAGAGCGGCGGACGGGUGAGUAAUGCCUAGGAAUCUGCCUGAUAGUGGGGGAUAACGUCCGGAAACGGACGCUAAUACCGCAUACGUCCUACGGGAGAAAGUGGGGGCUCUUCGGACCGCACGCUAUCAGAUGAGCCUAGGUCGGAUUAGCUAGUUGGUGGGGUAAAGGCUCACCAAGGCGACGAUCCGUAACUGGUCUGAGAGGAUGAUCAGUCACACUGGAACUGAGACACGGUCCAGACUCCUACGGGAGGCAGCAGUGGGGAAUAUUGGACAAUGGGCGAAAGCCUGAUCCAGCCAUGCCGCGUGUGUGAAGAAGGUCUUCGGAUUGUAAAGCACUUUAAGUUGGGAGGAAGGGUCGUUACCUAAUACGUGGCGAUUUUGACGUUACCGACAGAAUAAGCACCGGCUAACUCUGUGCCAGCAGCCGCAGUAAAAC
rnacentral:rRNA from 1 species